rnacentral:tRNA from 1 species
ACGGGAAUUCCAGAGCGGUCAAAUGGGCUGGUCUCCAAAACCAGCGGCGCAAGCCUUCGGGGGUUCGAAUCCCUCUUCCCGUG